GAAAGCUUGCUUCUUGAUGACGAGUGGCGGACGGGUGAGUAAUGCCUGGGAAGCUGCCUGAAUGAGGGGGACAACACCUGGAAACGGGUGCUAAUACCGCGUAUACCCUGAGGGGGAAAGACCGGAUACGGUCACAUUCAGAUGCGCCCAGGUGGGAUUAGCUAGUUGGUGGGGUAACGGCCUACCAAGGCGACGAUCUCUAGCUGGUCUGAGAGGAUGAUCAGCCACACUGGAACUGAGACACGGUCCAGACUCCUACGGGAGGCAGCAGUAGGGAAUAUUGCACAAUGGGGGGAACCCUGACGCAGCCAUGCCGCGUGUGUGAAGAAAGGCCUUCGGGUUGUAAAGCACUUCAGUAUGAGAUACCGUACUACCCUUAGUAGUGCCUUGAUUGACGUUACAUACAGAAGAAGCACCGGCUAACUCCGUGCCAGCAGCCGC
rnacentral:rRNA from 1 species